rnacentral:rRNA from 1 species
UACGUAGGGCGCAAGCGUUGUCCGGAAUUAUUGGGCGUAAAGAGCUCGUAGGCGGUUUGUCGCGUCUGCUGUGAAAACCUAAGGCUCAACCUUGGGCUUGCAGUGGGUACGGGCAGACUAGAGUGCGGUAGGGGUGACUGGAAUUCCUGGUGUAGCGGUGGAAUGCGCAGAUAUCAGGAGGAACACCGAUGGCGAAGGCAGGUCACUGGGCCGCAACUGACACUGAGGGACGAAAGCUAGGGGAGCGAAUGGG